CUGAGGAGUUGAGACGGUCAAUCACCGAUGUAUUUAUCGAUAGCUCUCACUUCGACACUCGACGUCUUUGUUUCUGGAGGCUCUCUUGAAUCGGAUCUGAUCUCAAGUAGUCCAACUAAUUCCCUAAUGAUUAUGAAUUCUGAAAAAAUGCUAGAGUUGUGUUGAGGGAUGGGCUUGAGAUUUCUACUUGGGAUCUCAUCAACUGGCAGUUUCUUCCACUAAAAGGCUUUUCAAAUGAUCACCCU
rnacentral:lncRNA from 1 species